rnacentral:rRNA from 1 species
GACGGGGGGGUCCUAGCGUUGUUCGGAAUUAUUGGGCGUAAAGCGUGUGCAGGUUGUCUGAAAAGUUAGAUGUGAAAUCCUUGGGCUCAACCCAAGACGUGCAUUUAAAACUGCCAGACUUGAAUAUCGAAGAGGUUCGUGGAAUUCCAGGUGUAGUGGUGAAAUACGUAGAUAUCUGGAGGAACACCGGCGGCGAAGGCGGCGAACUGGU